CUUGGUCAUUUAGAGGAAGUAAAAGUCGUAACAAGGUUUCCGUAGGUGAACCUGCGGAAGGAUCAUUAUUGAAUACGAUUGGUGCUGUUGCUGGCUUCUUCACUGAGGCAUGUGCACGCCCGUCUAUUUAUCUUCUCUUGUGCACAUUUUGUAGUCUUGAAUUGAAACCUCUCGCAGCGAUGCGGUUUGGGGGACUGGUGCUUCACGGCGCCUUCUCCUGCUUCUUCAAGGCUACGUUUUCAUAUACACGUUAAAGUUACAGAAUGUCUUUUAACGAUUGUGCUCGUCACAGUCAUUAAACCUAUACAACUUUCAGCAACGGAUCUCUUGGCUCUCCCAUCGAUGAAGAACGCAGCGAAAUGCGAUAAGUAAUGUGAAUUGCAGAAUUCAGUGAAUCAUCGAAUCUUUGAACGCACAUUGCGCCCGCCAGUAUUCUGGCGGGCAUGCCUGUCCGAGCGUCAUUUCAACCCUCGAACCCCUCCGGGGGAUCGGCGUUGGGGAUACGGGACCCCUCACACGGGUGCCGGCCCCGAAAUACAGUGGCGGUCUCGCCGCAGCCUCUCCUGCGCAGUAGUUUGCACAACUCGCACCGGGAGCGCGGCGCGUCCACGUCCGUAAAACACCCAACUUUCUGAAAUGUUGACCUCGGAUCAGGUAGGAAUACCCGCUGAACUUAAGCAUAUCAAUAAGCGGAGGA
rnacentral:rRNA from 1 species